rnacentral:rRNA from 1 species
AAAUUGAAGAGUUUGAUCAUGGCUCAGAUUGAACGCUGGCGGCAGGCCUAACACAUGCAAGUCGAACGGUAACAGGAAGCAGCUUGCUGCUUCGCUGACAAGUGGCGGACGGGUGAGUAAUGUCUGGGAAACUGCCUGAUGGAGGGGGAUAACUACUGGAAACGGUGGCUAAUACCGCAUGACGUCGCAAGACCAAAGAGGGGGACCUUCGGGCCUCUUGCCAUCAGAUGUGCCCAGAUGGGAUUAGCUUGUUGGUGAGGUAACGGCUCACCAAGGCG